CUAAUUCUAAGUUCCAGUCUCUACCAACUCAUCUGGUAGAUCCCUGCUCUACAAGGGAGCUCUUUGAUAUUUCUAAAGCCUAUUGUCUGUAAAAAGACAUUUUUCUUUGCCUUCUUGCCUUUUGACUCUGAAUCCAUGGUGAAAUUUUAAGCAUUUUCUCAUUAAACAAUGACCUGGUCAGAGUGCCAAGAUUUGUCUUAAAGAUGAAACUUUGCUCAGCCCUAAGAUUUUUGGAGCAAUGUAACCCUGACUUCCUCACAGUCUGCUGGAUGGUCUCAGGAGCCUAUUCCUUCUUUGGCAGGAAAUGGAGAGAAGGUCAUCCAGGAGAUCUUCCUGCAUUCUGGUCUGGGAUUCUCUUUAAGUGUGGAUUUGCAAAAGGAAAAAAAAAAUCAGGGUGUCUUGUUUCUAUAUAGACAGUGCCUUGUUUUUACAGACUGAGCAGCAUUAUUCCCUUUUUCUUUCCAAGAUAUUGGGUAAUCAUUUAAACAUAUUAGUUAAUAGAAAAUGAUUGGUCAAGGGGCUGGAUCUUUUUGGCAGAAUCUGUAGCUGUGCUCUCCAAAUGCUGGAGUUAUGGUAAAUUGGAAUUCUUUCAUUUGUCCGGAGCAACUGGAGACUAUGAUUCUGCUAUAGGUCCUAAAGAGGAGACUUUUGCUGUCAGCUGCCAUGUUGUGAUGAUGUCUAAGCAGUCUGUGGAGAGGUCUGCAUGGAGAAGCCAGCAUCGGGGAGAAACAGACCUCUUGCCAGCUUUCAGCUCCAAAUUGCUGGCUAUAUGUGGAAUUAUUAAACUAUCCUGUGUAAGGGCUGCACUCACCAACAUUACACAAAUGCCAGCUGUGAGGGAAUGCAUGUUAUGUAUAUCAUGGCAUUUUGUGAUUCAGCACUGGGAUGUACAGCGGUGACCAAGGGAUACAUGGACCUUGUCUUCAUAAAGAGAUUGGACUGUGGAGGGGACAAGCAGGAAAGCUGGCUGCCAUAGGCUUGGGGGCUGAAGCCACUCAGGGUGAAGUCCAGCAUGCCGUGGGAUAUAAGGAGAGAAACCAACCUUCAACCUUAGGUCCAAGGUUUAUCUUUAAAGCAGAUUAAAGAGUUCCAGCCCUCACAGGGAUUUGGUCACAUUAUCCACUGCCCAUCUGUGCCCCUGCUGCUCAAAAGGUGGAAAAUUUUAAUGCAUCAUCUAGAUAGCUAGAGGAUGACCAUGAAAAAAGGGUUCUUCUUCAGAGGUGAAAUCUUGAGGAGACAGCAAAGGGGUUUCUGGCCUCAGGCUUGACAUUCUCCACAAGAAUAGACACUUAUUUUCUCUAUGAUAGUUGGUAGACAAAGACACUCCUCCCGUGAAAGGGAAGCCCUGAGCUGACAUGGUAGAAGUUUUACUCCCUUGAAAAGGCCACGAUGGAGAGAAAUCCCACAGAAAGACACAUAGAAAUAGAAGGAGAUGCUUCAGAAACAAGCCCCACAGUUUGGGUCAUUCCAGCCCUGGCACCAGACAGAUGACAGAAGAAUCCAGGUGACAUCCCAGCCAGAGCCCUCACCUGAAUAUAUUGUCAUGAGGGCAGCUGAAUCAGAAUUGGGCAGCCAAGCCACUGCUAAAGUUCUGACCUCUGGAAACUGAGAGGUAGUAAAUGAUGAUUGUUUUUUAUUUUUAAAGUUUAUUUAUGUAUUUUGAAAGAGAAAGAGGGAAUGGACAGAGAGAGAGAAU